AUUCGAUGUGUACGCAUCGUUUUCGACGUGUUCAACUAUUUUUAAAAAUUCUGUUGACUUUUUUUUUUAAUUUUUUUUUACCCUUAAUGACGUCAUUAGUCAUUUUUGAAAAAAAUUUUUUUUUUCAACCAGCGUUUUCGCAAGUUGAAAAAAUCAAUUUUUUUUUUUAAAUUUUUUUGUCAACCCAAUUGAAUAUACAAGUCAACAGUAUUUUUAUUUAUUAAUUAGUGUUGAUUGUUUAGAUAGAUUAUCAAUGGAUUCCAACGAGGAAAAAUCAUUUUCUGAUGUCUUGACUGGAAGGAAGGAUGGAAGCAAAGAACACUGACCAGCCUCAAUGAACUGCUAGCUGUCAUCCUACCAGCUGAUCAACUGGCAUCGUUCGGCAGGGAAAUAAAGUUAUUUCUCUGUUGAGGUUUAGGUACAUAGUUUGGAUUUACUUUUUGGUAGAUCUUUUAUGACGUGUCUAAUCUAGAGUCCACUGGAAUCUAUACUGACAUGACUGGCCUAUGAGGACCAGAAUAAUUUUGAGGACAGUGAUGCUGCUGAGCAUUGACGACAAGGUGGUCCAGAUCCAAGGACACACCGCCGCUCUAAUUAUUUUUUUCUGUUUCAGAUCCAGUCAACAAGAAGGAUGCCCAACUUGAAGGAUGCCCAGGGAUGCCAAGGACCAAGAGGAGGACCAGGACCAGGACCAGGACUAGGAAUAAGAUAUAAUAUUUAUUAUUUAAUUUAAGCUCAAUUGUAAUUAAUUUUAAUUAAUUAUUUUAUUAAGGUAUGAGUGUGAUGGAUGAACUGCGAGCGAUUAAUAAUUUAAGAAUUUAAUUUAUAUUUUUAUUUUAUAAGUAUGAUUUUGAGUGGUAUGUUUUUAUAUUGAGUAGGUGUGGCAUGUAUGUAUUUAUUGCAUUUUCUGCAUGUUGCUUGCGUUUUUUUUGCUUGAUGUUUUUUUUUAUUGCA